rnacentral:rRNA from 1 species
GAUGAACGCUAGCGGCAGGCCUAAUACAUGCAAGUCGAACGGUAAGUUGAGUAGCAAUAUUUGACCAAGAGUGACGUAAGGGUGCGUAACACGUAUGCAAUCUACCCUGUACAGGUGAAUAGCUCGGGGAAACUCGAAUUAACACACCGUAAUAUUGAGGUGAGGCAUCUCACUUCGAUUAAAACUGAGGUGGUACAGGAUGAGCAUGCGCAUGAUUAGUUAGUUGGCGGGGUAACGGCCCACCAAGACGAUGAUCAUUAGGGGAACUGAGAGGGAGAUCCCCCACACUGGUACUGAGACACGGACCAGACUCCUACGGGAGGCAGCAGUGAGGAAUAUUGGUCAAUGGGCGCAAGCCUGAACCAGCCAUGCCGCGUGCAGGAUGAAGCAUCUAUGGUGUGUAAACUGCUUUUGUACGGGAAGAAACCCUUGCUUGAGAGCAAGAUUGACGGUACCGUAAGAAUAAGGAUCGGCUAACUCCGUG